AGAGUUUGAUCAUGGCUCAGAAUCAACGCUGGCGGCGCGCCUAACACAUGCAAGUCGAACGGGAAAGUGGGCAACCAUGAGUACAGUGGCGUACGGGUGAGUAGCACGUGGGUAAUCUACCUCUUAGUGGGGAAUAACCCUGGGAAACCGGGGCUAAUACCGCAUGAGCUCGAGAGAGGAAAGCAGCAAUGCGCUGAGAGAGGAGCCCGCGGCCGAUUAGCUAGUUGGUAGGGUAAAAGCCUACCAAGGCAAAGAUCGGUAGCCGGCCUGAGAGGGCACACGGCCACACUGGCACUGAAACACGGGCCAGACUCCUACGGGAGGCAGCAGUGGGGAAUCUUGCACAAUGGGGGAAACCCUGAUGCAGCGACGCCGCGUGAGCGAUGAAGCCCUUCGGGGUGUAAGGCUCUUUCGGCAGGGAAGAUGAUGACGGUACCUGCAGAAGCAGCUGCGGCUAACUACGUGCCAGCAGCCGCGGUAAUACGUAGGCAGCAAGCGUUGUUCGGAGUUACUGGGCGUAAAGGGUGUGUAGGCGGUUCUUUAAGUUUGGUGUGAAAUCUCCCGGCUCAACCGGGAGGGUGCGCCGAAUACUGAGGGACUCGAGUGCGGGAGAGGAAAGUGGAAUUCCUGGUGUAGCGGUGAAAUGCGUAGAUAUCAGGAGGAACACCGGUGGUGUAGACGGCUUUCUGGACCGUAACUGACGCUGAGACACGAAAGCGUGGGUAGCAAACAGGAUUAGAUACCCUGGUAGUCCACGCCCUAAACGAUGCAUAUUUGGUGUGGGCAGUUCAUUCUGUCCGUGCCGGAGCUAACGCGUUAAAUAUGCCGCCUGGGGAGUACAGUCGCAAGGCUGAAACUCAAAGGAAUUGACGGGGGCCCGCACAAGCGGUGGAGCAUGUGGGUUCAAUUCGACGCAACGCGAAGAACCCUUACCUGGGCUCGAACGGGUAGUCAACGGAGGUGGAAACAU
rnacentral:rRNA from 1 species